UACGUAGGGGGCAAGCGUUGUCCGGAUUUAUUGGGCGUAAAGAGCUCGUAGGCGGUUUGGUAAGUCUGGUGUGAAAUCUCCACGCUCAACGUGGAGGGGCCACCCGAUACUGCCAUGACUGGAGUCCGGUAGAGGAGUGUGGAAUUCCUGGUGUAGCGGUGGAAUGCGCAGAUAUCAGGAGGAACACCGGUGGCGAAGGCGGGUCUCUGGGCAUUAACUGACGCUGAGGGAAGCGGAAAGCAUGGGGAGCGAACAGG
rnacentral:rRNA from 1 species